rfam:Biomphalaria glabrata isolate BB02 unplaced genomic scaffold LGTN_random_Scaffold3370, whole genome shotgun sequence.
GGAUAUGUGGCUUAGUGGCUAAAGCGUUUGUCUCUCAAACAAAUCUCAGUCAUGGGGUUUCGGGUACGAAUCCA